UAGAAAUUAUGUUAUAGACCACUUCUUCGCUAGGGUUCAGUAGAAACAGCAACGUUAGGGUUCAUCACUUCUCUCAGUCUCAAAUCUCAAUUCAUUAGUUCCACUUCUUCGUGAGAUUCAUACGCACAAACAGCAACGUUACUCCGCUAGGGUUCAUCAUUCUCUCAGUUCGUGGUUUCAUUGUUUAACGAAGAACCGUCGCCGUCCAUUAUUCAACCACAAAUCACCACCGAUAUUGAUUUUGUGAAGGUGUUGUCGGUAAAUAUUGUUCCUACUCAGCUCGCCGACAACUUCCGGAAUAAGAAGCCUGAGGAAAAUUAUUGGUGCGCGUUGGUAUAUUAAAGGAUAUGAAGUAGAAUUCGAUGGAGCGCGACAAAAGUAGCUUGCAAGGAGUUGGAGUUCCUAGCUUGCAAGGAGUUGGAGUUCCUAGCGGAGUUGUAGAUCAAGGAGUGAGUC